UACAGAGGUCUCAAGCGUUGUUCGGAUUCAUUGGGCGUAAAGGGUGCGUAGGUGGCGCGGUAAGUCGGGUGUGAAAUUUCGGAGCUUAACUCCGAAACUGCAUUCGAUACUGCCGUGCUUGAGGACUGGAGAGGAGACUGGAAUUUACGGUGUAGCAGUGAAAUGCGUAGAUAUGUAAUAGAACACCGAUUGCGAAGGCAGUUCACUAAGGUUGUAUUGACACUGAGGCACGAAAGCGUGGGGAUCAAACAGG
rnacentral:rRNA from 1 species